ACGCUGGCGGCGUGCCUAAUACAUGCAAGUAGAACGCUGAAGAGAGGAGCUUGCUCUUCUUGGAUGAGUUGCGAACGGGUGAGUAACGCGUAGGUAACCUGCCUUGUAGCGGGGGAUAACUAUUGGAAACGAUAGCUAAUACCGCAUAACAAUGGAUGACACAUGUCAUUUAUUUGAAAGGGGCAAUUGCUCCACUACAAGAUGGACCUGCGUUGUAUUAGCUAGUAGGUGAGGUAACGGCUCACCUAGGCGACGAUACAUAGCCGACCUGAGAGGGUGAUCGGCCACACUGGGACUGAGACACGGCCCAGACUCCUACGGGAGGCAGCAGUAGGGAAUCUUCGGCAAUGGGGGCAACCCUGACCGAGCAACGCCGCGUGAGUGAAGAAGGUUUUCGGAUCGUAAAGCUCUGUUGUAAGUCAAGAACGAUUGUGAGAGUGGAAAGUUCACACUGUGACGGUAGCUUACCAGAAAGGGACGGCUAACUACGUGCCAGCAGCCGCGGUAAUACGUAGGUCCCGAGCGUUGUCCGGAUUUAUUGGGCGUAAAGCGAGCGCAGGCGGUUUGAUAAGUCUGAAGUUAAAGGCUGUGGCUCAACCAUAGUUCGCUUUGGAAACUGUCAAACUUGAGUGCAGAAGGGGAGAGUGGAAUUCCAUGUGUAGCGGUGAAAUGCGUAGAUAUAUGGAGGAACACCGGUGGCGAAAGCGGCUCUCUGGUCUGUAACUGACGCUGAGGCUCGAAAGCGUGGGGAGCGAACAGGAUUAGAUACCCUGGUAGUCCACGCCGUAAACGAUGAGUGCUAGGUGUUGGAUCCUUUCCGGGAUUCAGUGCCGCAGCUAACGCAUUAAGCACUCCGCCUGGGGAGUACGACCGCAAGGUUGAAACUCAAAGGAAUUGACGGGGGCCCGCACAAGCGGUGGAGCAU
rnacentral:rRNA from 1 species